rnacentral:rRNA from 1 species
UACGUAGGGGGCAAGCGUUGUCCGGAAUCAUUGGGCGUAAAGAGCGUGUAGGCGGCCAGAAAAGUCCGCUGUGAAAACUCGAGGCUCAACUUCGAGCUGUCGGUGGAAACUUUCUGGCUAGAGUCCGGAAGAGGAGAAUGGAAUUCCUGGUGUAGCGGUGAAAUGCGCAGAUAUCAGGAGGAACACCGGUGGCGGAGGCGGGACUCUGGGCCGAUACUGACGCUGAGGAGCGAAAGCGUGGGGAGCAAACAGG